rnacentral:ribozyme from 1 species
AGUAAUUCCGCAUUGGUAGGGUAUGGAUCCGAAACCUCUCGAAGGAUAUUAAAGGCUUUCCACACUCUACUCCUAUUCAGUACGUCCCCGGCGUACAGAACGGUAACAUGUCUCUCCAAAAUCUGAGCUUGGGUACACAGGGAAACUUCUUGGGAGGAUGGGUGAUAUAGCUAAAUUGUGAGGA